rnacentral:rRNA from 1 species
AUGAACGCUGGCGGCGUGGAUAAGGCAUGCAAGUCGAACGGUUUUCCUUAUUGAAGAAGAUGCGAUUACAUCAAAUUAACAGAUAUUUUGAAAACAGUGGCGAACGAGCUAGUAACACCUUGGUACGUACCCGAAAGUUUGGUAUAGCUCGCCGAAAGGCGGGGUAAUCCCAAAUAGUCCCUUCAUCUAUCGGAUGAUAGGGUAAAGUAGCAAUACGCUUUCGGAUCGGCCUAGGUCCGAUCAGUUAGUUGGUGAGGUAAUGGCUCACCAAGACAAUGACCGGUAGGGG